rnacentral:tRNA from 1 species
GGGGCCGUAGCUCAGUUGGGAGAGCGCCCGCUUUGCAAGCGGGAGGUCGGCGGUUCGACUCCGCUCGGCUCCA